rnacentral:miRNA from 2 species
AAAAACUGGCAGCUUCAUGUAA